rnacentral:rRNA from 1 species
AUUGAACGCUGGCGGCAGGCCUAACACAUGCAAGUCGAGCGGAUGAAGGGAGCUUGCUCCUGGAUUCAGCGGCGGACGGGUGAGUAAUGCCUAGGAAUCUGCCUGGUAGUGGGGGAUAACGUCCGGAAACGGGCGCUAAUACCGCAUACGUCCUGAGGGAGAAAGUGGGGGAUCUUCGGACCUCACGCUCUCAGAUGAGCCUAGGUCGGAUUAGCUAGUUGGUGGGGUAAAGGCCUACCAAGGCGACGAUCCGUAACUGGUCUGAGAGGAUGAUCAGUCACACUGGAACUGAGACACGGUCCAGACUCCUACGGGAGGCAGCAGUGGGGAAUAUUGGACAAUGGGCGAAAGCCUGAUCCAGCCAUGCCGCGUGUGUGAAGAAGGUCUUCGGAUUGUAAAGCACUUUAAGUUGGGAGGAAGGGCAGUAAGUUAAUACCUCGCUGUUUUGACGGUACCAACAGAAUAAGCACCGGCUAACUUCGUG